rnacentral:rRNA from 1 species
UACGGAGGAUGCGAGCGUUAUCCGGAUUUAUUGGGUUUAAAGGGAGCGUAGGCCGGUCUUUAAGCGUGCCGUGAAAUUUUGUGGCUCAACCAUGAGAGUGCGGCGCGAACUGGAGACCUUGAGUGCGCGGAAGGCAGGCGGAAUUCGUGGUGUAGCGGUGAAAUGCUUAGAUAUCGCGCAGAACUCCGAUUGCGAAGGCAGCAUGCCGGCUCCACACUGACGCUGAGGCACGAAAGCGUGGGUAUCGAACAGG